GCUGGUGUAGCUCAAUUGGUAGAGCAGCUGACUUGUAAUCAGCAGGUUGGGGGUUCAAGUCCUCUUGCCAGCUCCA
rnacentral:tRNA from 1 species